rnacentral:rRNA from 1 species
GGGUGACAGGUGGUGCAUGGUUGUCGUCAGCUCGUGUCGUGAGAUGUUGGGUUAAGUCCCGCAACGAGCGCAACCCUCGACCUUAGUUGCCAGCAUUCAGUUGGGCACUCUAAGGUGACUGCCGGCUAAAAGUCGGAGGAAGGUGGGGAUGACGUCAAAUCAUCAUGCCCCUUAUGACCUGGGCUACACACGUGCUACAAUGGGCGGUACAAAGGGUCGCGAACCCGCGAGGGGGAGCCAAUCCCAAAAAGCCGCUCUCAGUUCGGAUUGCAGGCUGCAACUCGCCUACAUGAAGCCGGAAUCGCUAGUAAUCGCGGAUCAGCAUGCCGCGGUGAAUACGUUCCCGGGCCUU